UCGUUCUCGCGAGAGGCCACCAGAGGGCGCAAGAGACCGCGGGGGUGGAAAAGGCCGCUCGCUCGAGAUUGCGCGCGGUUUGACUCUUUUCACCGACAAUAAUCUGGUGCCCAACAUUGGGCCUCAGAGAAGACUCAGGACCCUGAAGGAGUUGCCCAAAACUGGAGCUAAGGUACAGCAGGAGCCCAUUGAAGCCUCACCGAAUUCGAGCUUCUCCUUCGGUGGAACUGGUGGACAACAAAAGGAAGAGGAACAUGACUGCACUCUACUAACUAAUAUCUUACUCUCCCCUAAGGAAGAUUUAUAGGAAAACUCCCAUUGAGAAUGCUGAAUUAAUUUGGUUCACAGAUGGUUCUUAUUUAAGGGAUAUUACCAGGCAGGAUACACCAUCACUUCCAUAACAGACAUAAUCGAAAGUGCCCAACUCCAAGGAGUCAAAUCAGCCCAGAUGGCUGAAUUAAUAGCAUUAACUAGACACCAACUGAAGGAUUCCUUACAACCCCUCCGGAAAGGACCUUUUCAGGUGCUUUUAACCAACUCUUGCUCUGCACGUUAAAGAGAGUCGCUUCUUGGAUUCACAUUUUACACCUAAAAUGAGCACCUGACCACAUUCCUGACCGCCCCUGAACUUCUGCAGCAGUCUCUGACACCCACCUGCAAAUCAAGAGAACACUGGAGGCUCAGCCAGUCUCUAGGGCUACAACAAAGUCAACAUACUUCCAGAGAUGCUGGACCAGGCUAGUCCUCAUGAACCCUAAAAUAACCAUCAUUCUUACUUUCCUUGCUAUAGAAUAUUGCUAAAACCCAAAUGUUUUAACUGAGACCCCUAAGAAGCUGUUUGGAAUCUAUGCAAUCUUCUUUGGUGUAACUUUCUAAAUGGAUGUGGCUAUACAUUCCCUUGCUAAAGCCAGGAAAAUGUUUUACUUGUUCAUUCUCAUUCCCACAAUCUCCUCUGUCUACCUACCCCACACUCCUCUUUUCAAACCUGAAAAUUUCUACCAGUCCCCUGUAAACCUCAGCAGUCUUCCUGCAGGCAGAGCCCACAUCAUUUGGUAUGAUAUAGACCAGGAGGAAAUGAAGACUGUUAUAUGGAAGAGCACCAUUCUAAACAUUCCCCAAGGUCCCCACUUUUUAGGUACCCCUAUUAUAGGGCUGCAACCAAAUAUGACACCCUGCAGGAAUACUUUUUCUAACAAUGCCUCAGGAUGAUCACUGAGGGGGUCUAACCAGGUAGAACGUUGCAUAACAAUAGAUAUUGGGGAUGAUCACUUGAGACAACUGCCUUGUUACAAUGUCUCCUGUGUAAACUGCCAUAGCAUGGCCUGCCCAAAUAACCACCAGCCCUGUGCUUGUUGCUGGAUGCUCCCAUCCAGUACCAACCACACUGACACUGCCCUUAAAUAACUAUUUAUGGAAGUCAAUUGGUGGACAGAAGUCCCUGACAGCACAAAUUCCACCCUAA